UACGUAGGGUCCGAGCGUUGUCCGGAAUUAUUGGGCGUAAAGGGCUCGUAGGCGGUUCGUCACGUCGGGAGUGAAAACUCGGGGCUUAACCCCGAGCCUGCUUCCGAUACGGGCAGACUAGAGGUAGGCAGGGGAGAGCGGAACUCCUGGUGUAGCGGUGGAAUGCGCAGAUAUCAGGAAGAACACCGGUGGCGAAGGCGGCUCUCUGGGCCAUACCUGACGCUGAGGAGCGAAAGCGUGGGUAGCGAACAGG
rnacentral:rRNA from 1 species